AGAUUGGACUGGUUUAGAUGAAGAUGAAGAUGCGCAUGUCUGGGAAGACAAUUGGGAUGAUGACAACGUAGAAGAUGAUUUCUCCAAUCAGUUAAGAGCUGAAUUAGAAAAGCACGGAUACAAGAUGGAAACCUCAUAGUUCUUGCUGGCUGUGGAGUGGCUUGACACUGAACUGUGGAUAGACUAUAUUGAGAUGAGAAGGUGGAAAAUGAGAAGACUCUCUUAGUUCGUUAUUUGCUUGGAUUUAUUAUUGUUUUGUAUAAAAAAAAUAAAGUUUUUAAUCUUA